UAGUGAGUUUGAUCCUGGCUCAGAUUGAACGCUGGCGGCAUGCCUUACACAUGCAAGUCGAACGGUAACGCGGGGCAACCUGGCGACGAGUGGCGAACGGGUGAGUAAUGCAUCGGAACGUGCCCAGUAGUGGGGAUAGCUCGGCGAAAGCCGGAUUAAUACCGCAUACGACCUACGGGUGAAAGCAGGGGAUCGCAAGACCUUGCGCUAUUGGAGCGGCCGAUGUCAGAUUAGGUUGUUGGUGGGUAAAAGCCUACCAAGCCGACGAUCUGUAGCUGGUCUGAGAGGACGACCAGCCACACUGGGGACUGAGACACGGCCCAGACUCCUACGGGGAGGCAGCAGUGGGGAAUUUUGGACAAUGGGGGCAACCUGAUCCAGCCCAUGCCCGCGUGCGGGAAGAAGGCCUUCGGUUGUAAACCGCUGAAACGAGGACGAAAUCCCCGCAAGGGGGUCUGACGGUACUCGUGUAAUAGCACCGGCUAACUCCGUGCCAGCAGCCGCGGUAAUCUGAUGGCGCGA
rnacentral:rRNA from 1 species